GAUUUAAACACCUGAGAUGUUCUGCACGAUCGUGCGAUUGAUUAAUUAAACAGGAAAGGAUGACGGAUUUUCACUUCAAGCAAAUUGGCCUAGACUUAAAAUGCAUGGGCCGCGGCUGAGUUUCAGGCAGUGUCCAGUGAAGUAUCCCAUGUCUGACGGUUGGUGCUGGCAUCAGUGACAUCUGCGAAGUCCAUCGCAGUAGACUGAAGUGAUAUCUGGCUGGCACAGGCUGCAGUUAGUCGACAUCACUCCGCAACGUGUAGUAGUGGGAGUUGGACAUCAGGCAGGACCGGAGUCGGACAUCAGGGGCAGGGAUGAAACAUACCCUGGCUGGUGGUGUAGAGGUCACCUGAGGGCAGCGGUGCAGACUUCACCGUGUGUGAGGAUGAUGAAGAUAAGGAGGAAGAGUAGAGGGAGAGCUCUGGCAGGCAGGGAGCCAACGAGCCCAGCACCAACACAAAACACAGCACCACCACCUGGCCAGGAGGAGGAACCACACACACGGAACAGACAGCACCCUGUUGACAGUGCCUAUGUUCUAAUUAGGCCACCCAGGAGUGAAUGAGAAGGUGCUGCACUAUAUGAUUGGAAGGGGAGGUAGACCUGUGAGCAUCUGGACCGACUUAGCAACACCUGCUGACUACGAGGAGGCUGCUGCAUACACUUACCACAAACCGUUA